rnacentral:tRNA from 1 species
ACAUUAAAAAGCUUUAAUAGCAAUGGAUUUUUAAUCCGUAGAAGGCACUUCUACAGCCUUUAAUGA